CCACUGCCACUAUUCUCCUCUGUUCUUCUCAUUUUGACUGUCAUUCGACAUGAAAUGCCCAUUGUAGAGCCUCCUCAAUGUUGCAAGCUCAUCCUCACCAUCAAUUUUGCCUGAAAUUGCUAGAGAUUGACGAAGUAAGGAGGGAAGAAGAAGCUUGCCACUCGCUGCCUUCGCUAAAACACCCCCAUGGCAGUAUUUUCUAGUCAAACUGAGACCAAAAUCAGUUUUCUCGCCCUCAGAAACCUGUGCCUAGAGAUUUGCAACCCCUAAUGAUGCCUUUCAGUCGGUGAUUGGAGGUGGACUUGCCUCAUCGGAGAUAUUCGAUUUUUGGAUCGUUUGAUGGCCUUCCGGUGGUUGUUAGGGGGAAGUAACCACAUAUUUAGACUCCUCCUGUUUUGAUCUACAAUUUGGUACCUUCAGAUUAAAUUUUUGUCGAUGUUGAAAUUUUUCAGCGAUCGAGUCCGGUGACCUUGGGAUGCGUGCCAGUAGGCGAAUUUCUAAUUUGUGCUUCUAGGCGUCCGUCUGACCGUAUCGAGUAAUUUUUCUGGGCCGAUAAUCCAGCCUUCCCGCCAGCUCCACCUGAGGCGUAGGAGCGGACUACGGAACGCAUUAGAACUGGAUGAGACUUUAGUAGAACAUGCCAUUUGAUGGGUUACAUCAGGACCGUGUGCGCACCGUUAAUGAUUAAAGACAGGUAACAAGGUAUUUAUAGAUUUUUGCCCUGGUCAAGCAUUGUUCUCUAGGCUGAGUAGAGUUGAUUGCCGGAGGUAAGGUCCCUGGUCGAGCAAUGCUCUCUGGGCACCGGCUUGGUUGGAAAUCAAGUGUUUAGGCUGGAGGUAAGGACCCUGAUCGAGCUUUGCUCUCUGGGCGCCAGACCUGUUGGAUUAAGAGAGCCAAAAGGCUACUAGUAAUUGGAGUUAGGGUUCUACUGAGCCACUCAUCCUGCAAAAGUAAAAAUGUAUUUCAUUUUUAAAUUAUAAUAUAAUUCGUAUUUGAUGUACAUGGUUUGUUAUACUAAUUGUAAUAAUUAUUAUUUUUUGUGAAGAGUGCAAUAGUCACAAGAUUAUUUGAUUUUAACUCACUCCUGAGACUGACAGUCUCAAUUUUAUUUUUCACGUGACAGUUAAAGUUCCUCGUCGUCCUGUAUUUUGACAGUCCGACUUCUUCUCCUUCGGACUUUUUGUAAAUAACAUGUACUUCAUACUUUUGUUAUUGUUUACUCUAGACUAUCCGCAGUAGAGAACUUUUAAUUUUGUUGUGAUUAUUUUGGUCCAUGUUGGACGUGUGAUGUUAUGAAGAUCUGAUAGAAUUAUUUAUGAAAUGUCAGUCAUGAUUAAUUAUA